rnacentral:rRNA from 1 species
GUGAACACGGAGCUUGCUCCUGUGGGAUCAGUGGCGAACGGGUGAGUAACACGUGAGCAACCUGCCCCUGACUCUGGGAUAAGCGCUGGAAACGGCGUCUAAUACUGGAUACGAGUAGCGGCCGCAUGGUCAGUUACUGGAAAGAUUUAUUGGUUGGGGAUGGGCUCGCGGCCUAUCAGCUUGUUGGUGAGGUAAUGGCUCACCAAGGCGUCGACGGGUAGCCGGCCUGAGAGGGUGACCGGCCACACUGGGACUGAGACACGGCCCAGACUCCUACGGGAGGCAGCAGUGGGGAAUAUUGCACAAUGGGCGCAAGCCUGAUGCAGCAACGCCGCGUGAGGGAUGACGGCCUUCGGGUUGUAAACCUCUUUUAGCAGGGAAGAAGCGAAAGUGACGGUACCUGCAGAAAAAGCGCCGGCUAACUACGUGCCAGCAGCCGCGGUAAUACGUAGGGCGCAAGCGUUAUCCGGAAUUAUUGGGCGUAAAGAGCUCGUAGGCGGUUUGUCGCGUCUGCUGUGAAAUCCGGAGGCUCAACCUCCGGCCUGCAGUGGGUACGGGCAGACUAGAGUGCGGUAGGGGAGAUUGGAAUUCCUGGUGUAGCGGUGGAAUGCGCAGAUAUCAGGAGGAACACCGAUGGC